rnacentral:rRNA from 1 species
AUUGAACGCUGGCGGCAGGCUUAACACAUGCAAGUCGAACGAGUGGCGGACGGGUGAGUAAUGCUUGGGAAUCUCGCUUAUGGAGGGGGAUAACUACGGGAAACUGUAGCUAAUACAGCAUACCAUCGGAUGAGCCCAAGUGGGAUUAGUUAGUUGGUGAGGUAAAGGCUCACCGAGCCGACGAUCUCUAGCUGGUCUGAGAGGAUGACCAGCCACACUGGGACUGAGACACGGCCCAGACUCCUACGGGAGGCAGCAGUGGGGAAUAUUGCACAAUGGGGGCAAGCCUGAUGCAGCCAUGCCGCGUGUAUGAAGAAGGCCUUCGGGUUGUAAAGUUCUUUCAGUAGGGAGGCGUUACCUACAGAAGAAGCACCGGCUAACUCCGUGCCAGCAGCCGCGGUAAUUC